rnacentral:rRNA from 1 species
AGAACGAACGCUGGCGGCAUGCCUAACACAUGCAAGUCGAACGAGACCUUCGGGUCUAGUGGCGCACGGGUGCGUAACGCGUGGGAAUCUGCCUUGGGGUACGGAAUAACUCAGAGAAAUUUGAGCUAAUACCGUAUGAUGUCUUCGGACCAAAGAUUUAUCGCCCUGAGAUGAGCCCGCGUAGGAUUAGCUAGUUGGUGGGGUAAAGGCCUACCAAGGCGACGAUCCUUAGCUGGUCUGAGAGGAUGAUCAGCCACACUGGGACUGAGACACGGCCCAGACUCCUACGGGAGGCAGCAGUGGGGAAUAUUGGACAAUGGGCGAAAGCCUGAUCCAGCAAUGCCGCGUGAGUGAUGAAGGCCUUAGGGUUGUAAAGCUCUUUUACCCGGGAAGAUAAUGACUGUACCGGGAGAAUAAGCCCGGCUAACUCCGUGCCAGCAGCCGC